rnacentral:scRNA from 1 species
AAGAGGUCGAUAUCUACAAGCGGCGGGAAAACUAC